CAAAAUGGUUUGUUUUGAAAAUCUCAACACGAAACAUGCUGACAUUUGCAAUUUUGGUUUUGGGGUUUUUUUUUCAGACGAACUAUUUGCCAAAGUCGACCCAAAUUUGCAAAUCAUUUUGGACCCUGAGAGAUGCAUUUUUUGGGUGAAAUUUCUAUUUGCCGGAAAAAAAUUGUCCAGCUCUACUCCAAACAACCAAGGCUGUGUAGCUACACCCAGCUCAGCGUCAGCAGGACACGGUGCUACCACUCUGGCACCAACUGAAGCUAGGUCAGAAAGAGCUGCUCCCCCGCCCCUUGCUGCUUUUCAUACAGACCACAACUACUUCCUGAAGUUAGACAGUCGCUUGCUACACACCUGGCAAAAGCUUUUGGUUUCAAGAUGCAGUAAAGGCAGAGGGUGACCACGCUACAUACAAAUGCUGGAUCCCAACCUCCCACAGGCAAUUCUGCGUGAGGACAUUUGACUCUCCAUGGAGAGAGGGGGAGAGAAGCAAGCGCCUGGUGACAGAAAAUGGAAGGAGAACGUGUUAAACACCUACGGGCCAAGUUCCAAGGGAACAGGCAAAAGUUCCCUGAAACGAGCACCAGGCCAGGGAUUCUGCUUGCAGACUCACUCGCAAAGGAGGAGACACAUGGACUUAAACCUGGACCUGAGAGGGACCAAUCUACUAAAUUACCCAAAGCCAAGAGGAUGGGUUUAAAAAAUGCUCCUUUCUCUCAGGAUGACGUUCCAGGCUUGGGGCUCCUUUGUGAAGACCCCACCUGGGUGGCUAGCUCCAAGGACAGAAAUGCUAUGGAAUCCAGCCUCCACCCGGCCGGUCUGCAAACAGGAAUACAAGAGGCACCCCCUGAACAAAAGGGCACAAGGAGGAAUUCAAACCUUCCUCAGAGAAGCCAGACUCAGCAGACCUGGCCACUGGUCAAGCAUGCUAGGAAUCAAGGAGUAAAUGCUGGUGCCCCCCUGGUUCCUGCCAAAGGGACGGCCCUCCCAUCCCUACUGGACACUCCAAGAAGCGUAUCAGAGAAAUGGCAACCUAAGGUUCCUAAGAGAAAGCCACUGCCACAUGCAACCGCACUGGGACUCAAGCCGAUGAAACCCCAGCGCCCUCCUGAGGUGGAUCUAGAGAGGUUCUGGAAGGCUGCUGCUAUCAGAGCACAUGCUUAUCCUGCGCCAGAGCCAGUGAGAGGCAUGAGACAUGGUCACCUGAAGCCAAAUUCUGCUGCGUCUUCCCCAGUCCGACUUUCAUCUCAAGCUGCUCCGUCUGCUCGUGUCCCGAGUUCGGCGGGGGACGUACUGAGAUGUGACCAAGAGCAGAUAUAUGAUGAUGUGGAAGCACUUGGGCCAAUUGGCAAAGGGAAAGGAUGUCCGUUGUCACCUGCUUCCCGGCUCCCAGCAAGUCCCCGCUCUGGAACAGGUGCCAAGCUGACCCCUGACAGAUUUCCCCCGCCACCCACUGCGCCCAGAAAAUCCCAGAUUUCAGAGCUAAGCGGGAAAUGUGUGAAGAAUCUCAAACAGUGCAAGAAAGAAGAGCAGGCGGACAAGGAAUUUCGGAAGAAAUUCAAGUUCGAAGGGGAAAUCCGCACUCUGACCCGCAUGAUGGUCGAUCCCAACGUGGCUGAGAAGAAAGGGGGAGGGAAGAAUCUGCCGCUCAAACGAGGAGAGAUUCUGGAUGUCAUUCAGUUAACGAGUCCCGAGAGAAUACUCUGCCGGAACAACCAGUGGAAGUAUGGCUACGUCCCCAGGGUGGCGCUGCUGCAGCUCCUCUGUACCAGAUGACUGAAGGAUAAACAAUGCAACGCUGAUUUUUAAAAAAGGCUCCAGAGGCAAUCCUGGCAAUGACCGGCCGGGACACUGACAUUUACGAUGACGUUGCCUUUUGUGAUUAAAUUAAUUCUUCCACCAAUGCCAGCAAGUGAUCUCACCAACAGAGGGGGGCUGUGAGGACAGAAACAUGAAAAAC